GGUCACGUUUUUAGAGAAUGGCUAAAAAAUGUUUUGAGGGUUUUCUGAGAAUCGUUUUCAUUUGGGAGAAAACACGGAGAACAGCUUCAGUCACUUAAGUGAUGUUGAUUUCUUUCGUUUACAACAUCCAACGCUCUUUCUAUCUCAUCUUCCUUCUACCGUACAUCCUCACGCUGUAUCAAUCUCCUCUUACGCUAUCAUCCUUUGUCUCUGUCUCUCUCUCUUGAAGCUCGUUAUGCAGAUCUCCUCAAGAAGCUAUGGCGAAUUUUGUUGGCUGAUCAAAUUCUGUAUCGUCACCAGCCUAUGGGAAAUCCAGCAAGAUUUCACAAAACCUCUGCUCUCUCUAUCUCUAUGACUUCUCUGAUCUCUCAGUACAAUUUCUCUCACCACUCUAGUCCAAUUGAGAAUCGAGUUGAACUCUUCAGGUCUUUUCACUUCUUGAAUAUCCAGGUUUGAAAGCUAUAAAUCAAGCAUAUGCCUGCUGAUGUUCUAAAGAGAGGAUUUUCUUUGGCAGAUAAAUCAAAAUGUCACCAACAGUCGUCGGAUAUUUUCUCUUUAAUUUUUCUUGUAAAAUCAUUGUAACAUCUUUAUUAAAAUCAAUAAUAUGGAAUGAGCUUUUUCUUUCAUUUUA